UGCUGGGAAGUGGGGGCGCUUGUGGCAUCCAGUGGAGUAAAUAAGCUUUGUUGCUCCCCAAGGGCUCUGCCUUCUACUGUGAAGUAAUGGGCAGGAGACUCAGUAACUUCACCUAUAGAACAGAAGGUUCCUCAACCUAGUGGGGAGAAGACAAGGUUAUCUUGCUGGUAAGUUAUUCUCUAGGUGCGCUAGAAGUUUAUCAAUGAGCUUGAACUGCAAGACAAUUUCAAACAUCUGCAGUGCUAUUGAGAAUGGGAAUACCUCGGGUUGUGGCUUAAACCUUAACGUAUACCAUAGUUUGUUUUUUAUUAUGGGUGGUAAAUAGACGCCCCAUAUCAAAAUGGAUCAUAAACAUUAUCAAACAAAGUAUGGUGUUUGAAGCUGGGAAUUUAUUAAAUUGUAUUUGUCUUCUUCGUAAAUUUUCGAGUUUCAUAAAUCUUUG
rnacentral:misc_RNA from 1 species